rnacentral:rRNA from 1 species
CGAAUGCUGACAUAAGUAACGAUAAAGCGGGUGAAAAGCCCGCUCGCCGGAAGACCAAGGGUUCCUGUCCAACGUUAAUCGGGGCAGGGUGAGUCGACCCCUAAGGCGAGGCCGAAAGGCGUAGUCGAUGGGAAACAGGUUAAUAUUCCUGUACUUGGUGUUACUGCGAAGGGGGGACGGAGAAGGCUAUGUUGGCCGGGCGACGGUUGUCCCGGU